GUCGAACGGCAGCACAGCAGUAGCAAUACUGUGGGUGGCGAGUGGCGGACGGGUGAGUAAUGCAUCGGGACCUACCUAGACGUGGGGGAUAACGUAGGGAAACUUACGCUAAUACCGCAUACGUCCUACGGGAGAAAGCAGGGGACCUUCGGGCCUUGCGCGGUUAGACGGACCGAUGUUCGAUUAGCUAGUUGGUAGGGUAAUGGCCUACCAAGGCGACGAUCGAUAGCUGGUCUGAGAGGAUGAUCAGCCACACUGGAACUGAGACACGGUCCAGACUCCUACGGGAGGCAGCAGUGGGGAAUAUUGGACAAUGGGCGCAAGCCUGAUCCAGCAAUGCCGCGUGUGUGAAGAAGGCCUUCGGGUUGUAAAGCACUUUUAUCAGGAGCGAAACGCUGUCGGCUAAUACCCGGCGGAACUGACGGUACCUGAGGAAUAAGCACCGGCUAACUUCGUGCCAGCAGCCGCGGUAAUACGAAGGGUGCAAGCGUUAAUCGGAAUUACUGGGCGUAAAGCGUGCGUAGGCGGUUUGUUAAGUCUGUUGUGAAGUCCCCGGGCUCAACCUGGGAAUGGCAAUGGAUACUGGCAAGCUAGAGUGUGAUAGAGGAUGGUGGAAUUCCCGGUGUAGCGGUGAAAUGCGUAGAGAUCGGGAGGAACAUCAGUGGCGAAGGCGGCCAUCUGGAUCAACACUGACGCUGAGGCACGAAAGCGUG
rnacentral:rRNA from 1 species